AAAUAUUUGUUCUCGCAUUAAUUCCCUUUGUUCUACCAACUGUUGCCAGAUAGGCCUAACUUCACACAUUAUGGUGUUUUUGGCAAAAUGGCCAGCAUAGCUAAUGUAGCUCUUUCCCCAGCAUUCUGCAUUGCUUAGGUGCAAUCUUUAAGCCCUUGUGGCUUGAGAUUUAAUCCAUAUAUUUAUUUAAAGGAAGAGGUGCAGAAGCAGCAGUAGGUAAUUCUAUGGUAACCAUCGCACAGUAAUAUACCUAUAAUCUUUUUAAUGGGUACAAUAUAAAAAUAAGACCCUUUGAUCUCCAUAUGGGUAAAGUUAUUCAGCUUUGAGUUUUAGUAUGCAGCCACUAUUUCAGUUCGAGAUUUUAUCCAUAUAUUUAUUUAAAUGAAGAAGCGCAGAAGCAGUUGUUAAUUUUAUAGUAACCAUUGCACAGUAAUAUACCUAUAAACUUUUUAAUGGGUACACUGCAAAAUUAUGAAUCUUUGAUCUCCGUAUGGGUGAAGCUAUUCAACUUUGAGUUUUCGUAUGCAGCAGCUAUUUCAGUUUGAGUGGUUUGGCUAGAUGGGACAUUGAGUUCACAUUGUUGUAAUUAUUUGAGUUUGAGUGUGCACUUUUGUUGACAGGCAAUUGGACAAGUACCUGACUGUUGUUGGACCGACCGCACCUGAUUGGGUCCUGUCCGGAAGCACCACCCCUUUUAGAGGGUUAGCUUAGUUGGCAAUCCACAACAACGAAGCUUCAGAUACUUAUUCUAAACAGGGUUAUAUUGAAGUUUGAACAUACCAGAGAUCAACCGGCGAGAAGCAUGUAACCAAAGAAUCAGCCUAGAAGCAAGUAUUUUGUCCAGGACCUGCAAUGGAAAAUAUAAGACACUUAUCUAGCACUGUAUUCUAUGUUAGCUCGAAGGAAAAACACUUAGUUAAUAUCGAGUACUGCUUUUUCGCGAAAUAAAA